UACGAAGGGGGCUAGCGUUGUUCGGAAUUACUGGGCGUAAAGCGCGCGCAGGCGGUCCUUCAAGUCAGGGUGAAGACCGCAGGGCUCAACCCUGAAUGGCCUUUGAGACUAGAGGACUUGGGUACGGGAGAGGUGAGUGGAAUUCCGAGUGUAGAGGUGAAAUUCGUAGAUAUUCGGAAGAACACCAGUGGCGAAGGCGGCUCACUGGCCCGUUACCGACGCUCAGGCGCGACAGCGUGGGGAGCAAACAGG
rnacentral:rRNA from 1 species